ACCAUGGGACUUACUGCUUAACCCAUGAAUUUGAUAUUACACUCGACUCCAUCAUUUCUUAAAGCAAUCAGACCAAUCGGCUAUCAAGAUGUGGAGAACAGUAUUGAUGACCACCGUUUUUAUGUUAACUGCACAUACUGCAAUCAGAGCUCACUCAACAGCAUU